AUACGUAGGGGGCGAGCGUUGUCCGGGAUGAUUGGGCGUAAAGGGCGCGUAGGCGGCCCGGUAAGUCUGGAGUGAAAGUCCUGUUUUUAAGAUGGGAAUUGCUUUGGAUACUGUCGGGCUUGAGUGCAGGAGAGGUAAGUGGAAUUCCCAGUGUAGCGGUGAAAUGCGUAGAGAUUGGAAGGAACACCAGUGGCGAAGGCGACUUACUGGACUGUAACUGACGCUGAGGCGCGAAAGUGUGGGGAGCAAACAGGAUUAGAUGCCCUGGUAGUCCACACUGUAAACGAUGAAUGCUAGGUGUAGGGGGUAUCGACCCCUUCUGUGCCGCAGUCAACACAAUAAGCAUUCCGCCUGGGGAGUACGGCCGCAAGGUUGAAACUCAAAUGAAUUGACGGGG
rnacentral:rRNA from 1 species